UACGGGGGGAGCAAGCGUUGUUCGGAUUUACUGGGCGUAAAGGGCGCGUAGGCGGCCACCGCAAGUCGACUGUGAAAUCUCCGGGCUUAACCCGGAAAGGUCAGCCGAUACUGCGGGGCUAGAGUGCAGAAGGGGCAACUGGAAUUCUCGGUGUAGCGGUGAAAUGCGUAGAUAUCGGGAGGAACACCUGUGGCGAAAGCGGCAUACUGGACCAUAACUGACGCUGAGGCGCGAAAGCUAGGGGAGCAAACAGG
rnacentral:rRNA from 1 species